CAUUUUUUAGAAGUACUAGGGUUUAAGAUAAGACUAAUUAUUAAUUUAACAUUUAUCAUGAAUGCCAUAAUUAAAUAGGCCCUUUCGUUAUUUAUUUAUUAAAAAAAGAAAAAGAAAAAGAAAAGUAGCAGCAAUUGAGUAGUUUCACCCUACCAUUCAGAAACAAUAAGUACUAGCUAGCUUGAAAUAUAAUAUUACAUAUUGUAUUUCCAAUACAAAAUAAGACCAAGCACAUGGUGCCAGACUUUGAUGUAAAUGACUUCAUUUGGAUCAGUCUCAACAGCUGGGCAUUACCGGCUAGCUAUAAAGCUCAUUUGAGCUCGAUCUACUAAAACCCAGAAAAAUAUAUUAAUUAAUUAAAUGGAGAAACUUGCUGGGAGUCUGAAGAAGAGGUUUGUCAAUCUGGUUGAAGCCAUCAAAUCUUGCAACAAUGCUCAAGGAAUUGUAGAUGGAGAGGAAACUGAUUUGAAGACUGUGAAGGUAUGGUGUAUAUGUGUGUGUGUGUGUGUAUAUAUAUAUGAUUAUGUUAUAGUACCAAAGAUUAUUGGAGUUGAGAUCUGUUGAUGUUGAUUAGAUACAGAAAGUAGGUGUGCAAUCAAGAGCCAUUAAGAUGAAACCAGGAAAAGGUCCGAGACGGCCAAGCGUGCCCAAAGGCCCUCCUCCUCAGACAAAUUAAACAUCUUAAGUGAUCUACAUAUAUUAUUCUCAUCUAAUUUUAAGUGCUUUAAUUUCCUAUUUUGAUGUACAUCUCCGCAGAGUUGUGUGGAUGUGAUUAUUUCAUUAUAAAGUUUCUUCCAUUUGCUUC